GUCCGNNNNCAUGAACGCGGCCCUCGCCAUAGAAGGUGCCAGUCCUGUGCGGUGUCGCCGCGCAUGGCAUGCUUGCUCCAUCGAGUCGGGUUGUUUGAGAUUGCAGCCCUAAGUAGCUGGUAGACACCAGCCAAGGCUAAAUAUCAGUACGAGUCCGAUAGCGAACAAGUACCGUGAGGGACAGUUGAAAAGCACUUUGCAGAGAGAGUUCAACAGUACGUGAAACCGUUCAGAGGAAAACGGAUGAAAUCGUAAAGGUGGCGUUCAGUUCAAGGUCGUCGUCGUGGCGCGCCUCUCGUGCAAUCAUGAUCCAAUCGGACGUGUGCGCGGUGGCUGAGUCGCACGAUGGCCUGCACUCUGCUCGCCUCGCGCUGGAACCGAUGGCCGCUCAACAACGCCCGUCCGAGGAGGUAGCCGACUGGCCUUGUGUCAGUCGGUGUCAUACUUGGCGGUGUCGUGUGCGAGCGUUGCUAUCGAGGUUGGCUGUACCGCGUCCGCUGCGUGCCUUCGGGUGUGUGCGCUCGCGGCUGCGUUGGCCUGUGCGGACUGUUGCGGCGAGAGCUCUGCUCACGGCGUGACGGCGAGUGCGGCUGCGUAGUCGUCUGGGCGUGGACGCGUAUGGNUUCCCGGCGUUUGUCGAACCUUCAUCCGACCCGUCUUGGAAACACGGACCAAGGAGUCUAGCAUGUGCGCAAGUCAUUGGGCAUUUUCACGAAAACCCACAGGCGCAGUGAAAGCAAACGUAGGUGAGAUCUGGUGGCCUUGUGCUGCUGGCGCAUCACCGGCUCGUUCGCAUUCCGUAGCGAUUCUGACGUGCAAAUCGAUCGUCAAAACUGGCUAUAGGGGCGAAAGACUAAUCGAACCAUCUAGUAGCUGGUUCCCUCCGAAGUUUCCCUCAGGAUAGCUGGUGCUCGAAUGAUGCAGUUUUAUCCGGUAAAGCGAAUGAUUAGAAGUAUUGGGAGCGAAACGCUCUCAACUUAUUCUCAAACUUUGAAUGGGUAAGAAGCCAGUUGCUCUCUUGAAUGGAGCGUGGCAUUGAAUGCGAGCGCCCAGUGGGCCACUUUUGGUAAGCAGAACUGGCGCUGUGGGAUGAACCAAACGUUCGGUUAAGGGCGCCGAACUAUGACGCUCAUGAGAUACCAUAAAAGGUGUUGGCUGAUACAGACAGCAGGACGGUGGCCAUGGAAGUUGGAAUCCGCUAAGGAGUGUGUAACAACUCACCUGCCGAAUCAGCUAGCCCUGAAAAUGGAUGGCGCUUGAGCGUCGGGCCUAUACCGAACCGUUGCUGCAGAGUGGCACUUGUGUCAUGGUGACAAGCAGCAACGAGUAGGAGGGUCACUGCGGUACGCUUUGAAGCCUUCGACGCGAGUCGGGGUGGAGCUGCCGCAGGAGCAGAUCUUGGUGGUAGUAGCAAAUCCUCAAACGAGAACUUUGAGGGCCGAAGCGGGGAAGGGUUCCAUGUGAACAGCAGUUGGACAUGGGUCAGUCGGCCCUAAGAGAUAGGAGAACUCUGUUCUGACUGUGGGCACUGCCGCCUUGCUGUAGCCCAUGCCUGUCUCGAAAGGGAAUCGGGUUAAUAUUCCCGAACCUGGACAUGGAGAUUGGCUCGUAAGAGCCCAGUGCGGUAACGCAAACGAACUCSKMYCCCCCYGGUGGCUAACUGAGGAAGAGUUGUCUUUUCUUUGUAAGGGUCAAACUCCCUGGAAUCAACUUGUUUGGAGAGAGGGACGAUGUACCCGUAAAGCAGCGCGGCUCUUGCGCUGUCUCAAUUUUAGCCACUGGCCCUUGAAAAUCCGAGGGAGACGCUAAUUUUCAUGUCAGUCCGUACCCAU
rnacentral:rRNA from 1 species